rnacentral:rRNA from 1 species
UACGAAGGGUGCAAGCGUUACUCGGAAUCACUGGGCGUAAAGCGUGCGUAGGCGGUUUCUUAAGUCUGUCGUGAAAGCCCUGGGCUCAACCUGGGAAUGGCGAUGGAUACUGGGAGGCUAGAGUGUGAUAGAGGAUGGUGGAAUUCCCGGUGUAGCGGUGAAAUGCGUAGAUAUCAGGAGGAACACCUGCGGUGUAGACGGCUUUCUGGACCAUUGCUGACGCUGAGACACGAAAGCGUGGGUAGCAAACAGG